rnacentral:lncRNA from 1 species
ACGAAUCGAGUUAUUCGAAUCAACUCAAAUUUUUUUUUCGAAUUUUGAGUUCGAAUCGGGUUGAGUUUUCGAAUUCGAAUAACUCGAAUAAUUUGAAUAAUUCGAAUAUCAAACUAUAAUAUUUUACAUUUUUACCCCAAACUGCCAAACCUUUUUACUUUUCCCUCAAAAAUUUUACUCCUUCCCACUUUCCCCCCAAAACUUUUACUCCCCUCCCUUUCCAACCCCCAAUCUACCCAAAAUCCAUUUCCCACCAAAAUUUUACUCUCCCAUUUAUUUUUUCUCAAACUUUUACUCCCAAAAACCCUCAAAACAUUUUAUUUUCCCCCAAAAUUUUUACUCCCUCCCACUUUUCCCCUAAAACUUUUAUUCCCUUCCCAUCCCACCUCCAAUCUAUCCUAAACCCUCCCCCCUCCAAAAUUUUUUUAAUAUUUUCCCUCCAAAACUUUACUCCCCCUAUUUACUUUUCCUCAAACUUUUAUUCCCCAAAACUUUUUAUUUUUCCCCUAAACUUUUACUUCUCAC